rnacentral:rRNA from 1 species
GGAAUUUUGGACAAUGGGCGCAAGCCUGAUCCAGCAAUGCCGCGUGAGUGAAGAAGGCCUUCGGGUUGUAAAGCUCUUUUGUCAGGGAAGAAACGGCACGGCCUAAUAUCCCGUGCUAAUGACGGUACCUGAAGAAUAAGCACCGGCUAACUACGUGCCAGCAGCCGCGGUAAUACGUAGGGUGCAAGCGUUAAUCGGAAUUACUGGGCGUAAAGCGUGCGCAGGCGGUGUUGUAAGUCUGACGUGAAAUCCCCGGGCUUAACCUGGGAAUUGCGUUGGAGACUGCAAGGCUAGAAUCUGGCAGAGGGGAGUAGAAUUCCACGUGUAGCAGUGAAAUGCGUAGAGAUGUGGAGGAACACCGAUGGCGAAGGCAGCCCCCUGGGUCAAGAUUGACGCUCAUGCACGAAAGCGUGGGGAGCAAA